GCUGAGGCGCGCGCGCGCACCGGAACGCCGCGGCCGGCGCUCGGUCCAUCCGGCCCGUGGGCUGCGGGGCCCCGGGCAGCGGUGACUGCGGCCGAGCGGGCGGAUGUGUGGCUUAAAUGGCGCAGGCGUUGGGGCCUAGAGGCUGAAGGGCUGGUCGUCCUAAAAACUCGUGGACGUCGCGCACGGUUACCCGGAAGCAGGCCCGCCCCUCCGGGUAACCGCGAGCUUCUCGCGGCUGGAUGGGGACCGUCCUCGCAGUGGCGGCCUCCACACUGGCCUCCCGCUUAGCCGAGGCUUCUGGAAGGCUCGCAAAGUGUCUGUUGAUGGAAGAAGCCGGGCCCUGACUGGCGCGACGGAUUCCCGCAGCCGCUCAGCAGAGCGUCUGUAGGUCGGAAGUGGGGGUUAUAUUGGAAUAUGCUUUUUGUCUGACAUCAAAAAAUUGGAGCGGUUUUCUUAUUCGAGUUCAAAAUGGGUCAUAAAGCAGCGAAGACAACUCAAAACAUCAGUAACACAUUUGGCCCAGGAACUGCUAACAAACAUAUACAGUUCAGUGGUGACUUAAGAAGUUUUGCAAAGGAGAGAGCCUUGAAAAUGAGGAACAUGAUGGCGAGCCAUGGGAAGUUGACAACGACCAAUUGAGAGCAAUCAUAGAACUACAUGAAAAAUCGCAGAAGAACUCAGCGUUUACUCUUCUAGGGUCAUUAGGGUUGUUUGGCAUUUGAAGCAAAUUGGAAAGGUGAAAAAGCUUGAUAAAUGGGUGCCUUAUGAGCUGAGUGAAAAUCAAAACUAUUGUUUUGAAGUGUAGUCUUUUAUCCUGCGCAACAACAGCAGACCAUUUCUCAAUCGGAUUGUGACAUGCAAUGAAAAGUGGAUUUUAUACGACAGCCAGUUCAGUGGUUGGACCAAGAAGCAGCUCCAAAGCAGUUCCCAAAGCCAAACUUGCACCAAAAAAAGGUCAUGGUCACUGUUUGGUGGUCUGCUGCCAGUCUGAUCCACUACAGUUUUCUGAAUCCUGGCGAAACUAUUACAUCUGAGAAGUAUGCUCAGCAAAUUGAUAAGAUGCAUCGAAAACUGCAAUGCCUGCAGCAGCAUUGGUCGACAGAAAGGGCCCAAUUCGACAACACCUGACUGCAUGGCCCACAACCAACGCUUCAAAAGUUGAAGGAAUUGAGCUACGAAGUUUUGCCUCAUCCUUUAUAUUCACCUGACCUUUCGCCAACUGACUACCACUUCUUCUAGCAUCUUGACAACUUUUUGCAGGGAAAACACUUCAGCAGGAUGCAGAAAAUGCUUUCCAAGAGUUUCUCAAAUCCUGAAGCAUGGAUCUUUAUGCUACAGGAAUAAAUAAACAUUUCUCAUUGGCAAAAGUGUGUUGACUGUAAUGGUUCCUGUUUUCAUUAAUAAAAUAUGUUUGAGCCUAGUUACAAUGAUUUAAAAUUCGCAGUCUGGAAAUUGACUUUUGCACCAACCUAAUAUUUCGAUGGUAAAUCCUUGCAAACAUGGAAACUGCAUUUGGCCCAGUGCUUUGUGGUUGUGUAUUCUUCCUUUUUUUAAUAGAUGGCAUUGGCUGAGCAUAGUGGCUCACGCCUGUAAUCCCAGCACUUUGGGAGGGUGAGGUGGAUGGAUCACCUGAGGUCAGGAGUUCAAGACCAGCCUGGCCAGCAUGAUAAAACCCUAUCUCUACUAAAAAUAUAAAACAAAAUUGCUACACGUGGUGGCAGGCAUCUGUAAUUCCAGCUACUUUCGGAGGCUGCAACAGGAGAAUCAUUUGAACCCAGGAGGUGGAUGUUGCAGUGAGCUGAGAUGGCACCAUUGCACUCCAGCCUGGGUGACAAGUGAAAUUCUGUCUCAAAAAAAAAAAAAAAAAUAGUUGGUGUCUCGCUGUGUUGACCAGGCUGGUCUCGAACUCCUGGCCUCAAAUGAUCCUCCCAUCUUGGCCUCCCAAAGUGUUAGGAUUACAGGCGUGAGCCACCGCACCCUGCCUGGUUGUAUACUCCUUCAAAACUUAAGUUUUUAAUGUUAAAUGCUGCUUCUAGAUACAUUGUAAAAAUUCACCUAUCAAUGAGUUUUUUUAUUAAAAACAUUGCAAGUAUACUGGACUUUAAAUACUAAGCAAUAAUUAAGGCUUCGAUGUUGGUUUAUAGUUUUCUCAUUUCUUUCAUUUAAUAGCUCUGUAAAAUGAAGCAGUUACUUCCAUUUUCCUGAGGUGCAGAAACUGUGGCCCAGAUAAGUUGAGCGACCUGUACAGUGUUACAGGUCCAAUAAGUGAGACUGGGGCUCUGAUCUAGUCCCUUUGACAUUAAAGUUUGUGCGGUAAACCAGCUAUGUCAGUUUGCCACAUUUGUAAUAGUGUUCAAUAAAUUUUCACUUAAAGGUUUAAUAUUAAAAUAGUAGCAAGAAUUCAUAAUCUUAAUUGGCUUUAACAGCUUUUUUUCCCCUGAAAACAGAUGCAUAUGUACACAUGCACACAGAUUGCUUGCAAUACCAGCACAUAGGCCUUUGCACGUUGAAGUCAGCACUCCUGUGGUGCCUUUUUUGGGCGGGGGGCCGGGGGGGGGCUGGCUUUUUUGACUGCAAGUCUUUUUGGAUAGAACUUUAUAGUUAGAAAGUAGCUUUCUAACACUUGGAUGGGUUUUAUAGGCACAAAAAACAAGUCUUAUACUAGCUGUACUUUAUUUUUUGAGUUCUUAUUAAUGGGCAUCCACUUUUGCAUUGACAGUGGUUUCAAGAUUGCUUUAUCAGCCUUUAAAGGAUUCUUGGGCUAGGCGUGCACAUCAGAACUGCAAGGUCCUCUGUUUCUGAAGCAGUAAGCUUUGGGUGUCUCGCAUCAGCACUUUGACUGAGUUUCACAGGUAAUUCUGAUGCAUACUCCAGACCUGAACCACUGAUCAGUUUGAAACCUGCAUAACAAAGCCGAAAAAGUUUUGUUGCACCUUUUGAAAUACAGUUAACUCUUUUACCAUGCCGAAGAUUAUUCAUUCAGAGAGACAGGUCCUUGCUUUGGAGCGAUGAUAUAUAUCUGGCAGUACCCAGCCCUUGUGUGUGUGCAUUAGCUCAGCACCUGUCCACACUACAAGCCCCCGUAGGAUGUGCCUUGUCCUUCCCUGUUUCAGCCCUUAACACAAUACGUGGUAUAGAGUAUGUAGUGGGCAUUUGUUGAAUGAAUGCUUUUCCCAGUAGCAGUGUAUUCAUACAAUAUUAAUAAAAUUGUCCUCUGGUUUACAGAUAAAAGUGAAAGCACUAAGUGCCCAGUGAGUAAGACCCAGGUGUUCUUCCUCCACCCCUAGUGGUCCCCUGGGCAGGUCUUUUUUUUUUUGUGACACUCAUGUAGUCAAUCACUGAUUUAACUUGUCUGUGAACUUGACAGCAGGAACUGUUCCAUAGUUUCAUUAGCACAGAGUAAACAUGUUUGCCAUGCAAAGUUAUUUUGCAUCUGCAUUUAAGUGAUGUUGAGUCGAUGAAAAGUUUUGAUUAAGCAAUAGUUGUAGAUGUGCUAAGUUUUUCAAAUUACUAAUAUCAAGCGGAGAUUAUUUUUACUUGUAAAGGUAUUGCUUUUGUGAUAGCAUAAAUAAUGGUUUUCCUUUUUUGUAAUGUAAAUUAAUUGCUGGAAACUUUUGUAUUCCCAUAGACUGGGGAAGCUUAAUUGCCUUUAUGAGUACUUAUGUACAACUUUGUAUCAAAUUUUCUGUAAUAAUUUAUGCUUUAUUACUAUAUAUGUACUAAUAAUUUUAUCUGACUUCUGUUUAUAUCAUUUGUACAAUUACAUGGUUGUAAAAUAAACUUUUAAACCUCA